UACAAAGGUUCCUAGAAGAAU
rnacentral:piRNA from 1 species